AGUGGAAUAACUAGGUCAAAUGGUGAUUCCAUUCCUAAUUUUUUGAGGAAUAUCCAUACUGCUUUCCAAAGUAUUUGCACCAGUUUGCAGUCCCAUCAACCAU
rnacentral:pre_miRNA from 1 species